GUUGGGAGGAGGAAGAGAAAGUGUCUAAGAGCAUUCGGGAUAGGAUCACGGAGGAAAGCCAAGCUCAAUUUCUCCUCCAGUAUCGGAGGUAGAGAUUUGCUUUGGAUUUUCCUGAUGCCUCCUAUUCAUACUGAUCUUAGGUACUCAUUCCUCUUCCUUUUGGCU
rnacentral:pre_miRNA from 1 species